AAGUGACGUUGCAUAGUUACGAGGCACCACCACCGCAGCAGUCAGCUGUAGCCCGCUAACGUAGAUUUAGUUUGUUAAUGCGGGUUUACGUUUCAUUUAUCCGUCUUCUUCACGGAAUACAUGUCCUCUCUCAACAAGUAAGUUACAUGCAGCUGUAACGUGAAACACGGCUCAUCGUGCGACCCUUCGCCAGGUCCGGUGUGUUGGGGGAAGACUGCCAUGUUCAAUCCCAGUGAUCUAGAAGGUGAAGUGGAUCAUUCGUUCUUUGACAGUGACUGUGGUGACAGCAGGGAUGGAGGAAAAAAGUUGGAGAAAGGCUUGAAGGUUGACAAACAGACCCCACCGGCACAUGAGAGGCUGCAUGCAAAACAGACUGAAAACACAAAAGGCGGGUGUUCCCUCAGGAGUGAUGGGACGGGAAAACACCUGAAGCCAGUCGAGCACGUCAGCAGCAGCAGGGCAGAAAAGAAAGACAACAGCUGUCCAUCAAAGGAAGAUGAGAGGAGCAGGGUAUCAUCCGUUGCCUGCACGUCACAUAAAGUCAUCAAUAAUAGCAGUGAUAGUGAGGAAGACUCUAAGUUGUACUCUAAAAGGCCCAAUGGAAGAUUUAUGGCUUUGCUGGCUGAGGCCAGGGAGACGAGUCAUAAGGAUCUGCACAGCCAGAGUCCAACCGAGUCUGAAGAAGAAUCAUUACAGUCCAGUGCUAAACACUCAAAAGGGAGAAGUAAACAAUCUCCAAAAAAACGGAUAAGAAAUCGGUGCACCCGAAGUCCAUCCCCUACUUCGACUGAGGCCAGCAUAGACGCAGACUCAGAGAGCUCCUGUAGCAGCAGCAGCAACAGGAGAGGCAGUUCAGACUCUCCCGUCCUUCCCAGGUCCAACAGGUCUUCUUUAUCCCCGGGAAUGACAAGGAUCCGAGUGUCCGCCAGCCGCGCAGAAGAGUCAGACGAUACAGUGACAGAUGUGAGCCCUCUCUCCUCUUCUGACUCCAGCCCUCUCCAGUCGAUGAGCCUGAACCGCACAGAGGCUGAAGAGGGAAGCCUCAAAGAGCAACAGCAUCAGGAGGAGAGUGUGCCCUCCAGUGGCCUUAGCAACACACAUCAAGAUGAGGACUCUGAUCCGGAUGUAGAUGAGUGUUCUCUCCGUUCAGAGAGUCAGCUUGGAGGUAAACUGGUGUUCUGUCCUGGAGGAAGAAACAGGAAGAACUACUCGUUCACUAAUGACGAGGUCCGAUGCAUCGAUCGCGAGAACCAGCGCCUUCUUCGCGAGCUUUCACGCCUCUCUCCAGCGCCCAGACCAGGAAGUACAGUGGGGAAGAAAACCCACAUGGCCAGUAACUCGCCAUUCGUUCGCCCCUCUCACAGCGCACUCAACAGGCAGCGGGAACAGCAACGCAUCGAGAGAGAGAACCUGGCUUUCCUGAAGAGGCUGGAGUCCGUCAAGCCUACACCUGGCCUAAAGCGUUCGCAACAACUGGCAGACUACCAGCGACAAGUUGGAUACCUGGGAGCUCCUUCAUACCCCAUCUCUAUGUCCAGCACAAAGAAAGAGAGCUCUUCUAGCAAGACGCCCUCAGGUAUGUAACUUAGUACAACUUGUGAGAUAGCUGCACAGCGUGAAAGCACCAGCGCACCCAACCCUCACUGAUUCCACAAGAGCAGGUUGCCCCCCCUGCAGAAGUGUGUGUAGUUCAGCCUGCUGUUGUUUGCAUGUGAUGAUUCAAUCAAGGUAAACAAAGAGGAUCUGCAUGCGGCACUGCGCUGUGGUGCUCCUCUCAAAUUGAAGGCUGCAGUUUUAUCACACAUGUCUGACCGGCUGAUGGCUGCAGAGAUUAAUUUAACAGAAGAAGACUUUCAGUUAGUAAAAAGCAGCUGUGGAUGACUGAUACUGGUCCCAGGCCUGUCAGUUCUGCCCACAACAGCUCCAGAGCAGUUUCCACCACCACCAACUCUAGCAGGACAUCCAUAACAUCAAACAAACUGAGUGCUGCCCGACCAGCCUGGUGCUGAGAACACUGCGGUUUUCAAAUAUCUACAAAGAAGCUCAUCGCUGGUUCCCUUUAGUGGUAUCUGUUGGUAUCUAUUCAUUACAAAAGGCUCAUUUUGGAAGGUACUAAGCUUAAAUGAUCUUCACUUAAUCAACUAUUCAGUGCUUUGUAUUGUCAUUUUUCUCUACUCUUUGAUGCCGAAAUAUAGCAAAUGAUGCUUUGAGCUCAGUGCUAUUGUAAUGCAUUUGAAUGGUUCAGUUGUGGCUUCUGAAUACUGCAGUAACACUAAACAACAGUUAGCUAGCUGUAUUUUUGUAGGAAAUAUGGCCUAUAAACCCACAGCCAUGUUGACAUGACAGACAAUACAUUAUUAUUUCAGUGACUGUUUCCAUUAAAAAUGCAAUUUUCUGUCCGUCCGCUUUAAUUACAUUUGUACAGUUUAUUAUGCAACAAUUAAAAUUAUUUAAAAUAUUAUUUUGGUGUUUUCUAUAUUUUGCUCCCUAUAAAAUAAAGCUGCUUGUUCCACCAGUUAGUAGUGAGCAAUUUUACAACCAGAAUGGUGGACUAUGGUGGAAGUAUUUGCCUGAUCUCUCCAAAAUCAUACUUAUACCCAUUGAGCACGUGCAACAAUUGGUACACACAAUAGCUUUUUUGUAUUGUUAAUAUAUGAAACUACUCCAUAUAUUUUUAUUGUGCUCAUGGCUUUGAAUAUUUUGCACAUUUUUAAAAGAUAAUUUAGAAAACCAAAAAUUACCCUGGUAAUAGCAUUUUAGCUUUGUGGCUGUAAUCUACCACAGGGGGCAGUUACUGGAUAUCAUUUUUCCAAUUAAAAGAUUGUUGAUAUUUUAAUAGAACACUGUGUUAAUUGCAUGAGGUUCUUAAAUAGAGAAGACAUUUUAAAAUGUCGAAGUAAACAGAUGUGUAUAUAAUAAAAUCAGUAAUGUCUGAAUUCCAAUUAGCUGCUUCAGUUUCAGGGUCCUGGUAUUGUGCAUGCUGGCUCAUUGUCUCACUUUCAUGACUUACUUGGACACUUGUAACAGAACCAAAGUCAAAACGUCUGCUGUGAAAAGAGCCUGUUUGACUGCAGAUGACAGGUUGCCACGACAUACAACAUACAUACAUUAAAAAAAAAAGACUAUUACGCUAAUAAAUCUUUAUUCUUAAUAAAAUAAUGUGUGAGGUGGCACAAAUAGGUCAGAGUGGUCACAACAUAACAACACAUGGGCCUCAGCAACUGCUUUACAAACUGUCUAACCUGAAGAGCAUGUGACUGGUAUCCUUCGCAUCAUCACAACGUCUCCACUCAAACACUGGCUUGACUUUGUCACAUUAAAAGACUGUUUGUGCCUUUUGACACGUCGCAGAUGGGAUAUAUACAGAUUUCUGAGGAGGCAUGAGAACCCAGGUCAGGUAUACCUACCUGUCCCGGGGCUGUCGCAGAAGAGUACAUGCCCACAUUGUAAUUUAUUCACCACAAGCUGUUAUCACUCUAUCACAAGAAUUAAGACUUAAACAAAGUGAAGGGGUUUCCUUGGGGACUGGGAGAUUAGAAAGUUUUUUUUUUUUAUGUGAACUUCUUGAUCUCGUCGUACAGCAC